AUUGAACGCUGGCGGCAUGCCUUACACAUGCAAGUCGAACGGCAGCACGGGAGCAAUCCUGGUGGCGAGUGGCGAACGGGUGAGUAAUACAUCGGAACGUGCCCAAUCGUGGGGGAUAACGCAGCGAAAGCUGUGCUAAUACCGCAUACGAUCUACGGAUGAAAGCAGGGGAUCGCAAGACCUUGCGCGAAUGGAGCGGCCGAUGGCAGAUUAGGUAGUUGGUGAGGUAAAGGCUCACCAAGCCGUCGAUCUGUAGCUGGUCUGAGAGGACGACCAGCCACACUGGGACUGAGACACGGCCCAGACUCCUACGGGAGGCAGCAGUGGGGAAUUUUGGACAAUGGGCGAAAGCCUGAUCCAGCCAUGCCGCGUGCAGGAUGAAGGCCUCCGGGUUGUAAACUGCUUUUGUACGGAACGAAACGGCCUUUUCUAAUAAAGAGGGCUAAUGACGGUACCGUAAGAAUAAGCACCGGCUAACUACGUGCCAGCAGCCGCGGUAAUACGUAGGGUGCAAGCGUUAAUCGGAAUUACUGGGCGUAAAGCGUGCGCAGGCGGUUAUGUAAGACAGUUGUGAAAUCCCCGGGCUCAACCUGGGAACUGCAUCUGUGACUGCAUAGCUAGAGUACGGUAGAGGGGGAUGGAAUUCCGCGUGUAGCAGUGAAAUGCGUAGAUAUGCGGAGGAACACCGAUGGCGAAGGCAAUCCCCUGGACCUGUACUGACGCUCAUGCACGAAAGCGUGGGGAGCAAACAGG
rnacentral:rRNA from 1 species